UACGUAGGGUGCAAGCGUUAAUCGGAAUUCCUGGGCGUAAAGCGUGCGCAGGCGGUGAUGUAAGACAGAUGUGAAAUCCCCGGGCUCAACCUGGGAACUGCAUUUGUGACUGCAUCGCUGGAGUGCGGCAGAGGGGGAUGGAAUUCCGCGUGUAGCAGUGAAAUGCGUAGAUAUGCGGAGGAACACCGAUGGCGAAGGCAAUCCCCUGGGCCUGCACUGACGCUCAUGCACGAAAGCCAGGGGAGCAAACGGG
rnacentral:rRNA from 1 species